UUGUAGGAUGUGGAAAUAUUCAAUGUGAAUCAAGGAUUCCAACCUCCUUGAUUAUGUCUUGGCCAAAAUAGAAGUUUAACUCCACUCUUUUCAAGGGUGACAUAAUCCAUGUAACUUUACUGUCAUACCCCUCUUCCUAUUUCCUAUUAACAUUAUUAAUUAACGUUACCCUUUCUCAAGUUCUGUUUCCAAGUAGUAAAGGUUAACAUAACAUCAAGCAACAAAACAACUGUAAAUAUCAUUCUGUAUUUAUUGCUGAAAGCAAAAUCAACCAAACCAUCAAACAAGAAAUUAUCAAUCAAACAAUUUGCUCUAAAAAGUUCUCAAACUUUGUUCACCAAUGCCGCUAACUAUAGUACUGGUAAUUACUCUAUCCUAAAACAAUUUAAAUACAGUACAUCGGUCUUGACACAAGUAUUGCUCUUAUGGCUAUUUCAAGAUUCUUUUCUUACCUUAUGUCAAUAAUAGGCAUAAAAUGCUUCAAA